ACCGCAGCCUCUGCGUGCCGGGCUGAGGAAGGCGGAAAGGCGCGUGUCGCGGCCGGGAACGCCGCGCUCCGGGCCGUGGGCGCUUCGCUUUCGUUUCAGCGUGAAGUGGCGGCGUUCCUCGCAGCGCUGCGCGGCACGGAGGAAAAGCUUUGCGGUGGCGUCCGGGCAGCGCUGUGCCGUGUGCUGUGCGCGCUGUGGUCAUUUGCGGCGCCUGAUCGUGAGAUGUUUCCUUUACCGAAGGUCACGAGGGCGCGUGUGUAAUGAUGAACAUUUGAGCUGUGGGGACGCGAAGGUGUGUCUGUCUGUCUGCGGCACAGAGCUGAGCUCUUCGGUCAGUUGAAGUUCCGGGCUGUAUUGUAGGGAAACCAAAACCGUGUGAUACCGCUAAGGAUAACGACACAUCAAAUAAAGCAAACGGCUAACAGUGAUACCCGCUGCUGUCUCACAGUCACGUUCUCACUGAAUUUCAUGAGCAGGAAAUGCCUCCUGGCCGGCUGGCUCAGCUGCCACCACGGCUUAAAAAGCAAGCAAAUGUCCCUGGCAAGAAGAAUUGGCACCAAACAAAGCAAAAAGAGUACUGAAAAUGAGUAAAGGAUGAGGGAGUUACGUCAGCACCCUCAAGGCCAAUUUACUCUUGGUUUGUUUUGUUUUUUACCUCCGCCUUUGUUGCAAAUUGCAGGCCUACCCAUUAACAUCUCAAACAGAACUGAAAAGUGAGAAGGCCAACAGAAGUGUACUUGCACAAUUGCUUUGCAGGAUAUUUGAUCCAGUUGUUGGAGUGUGACAGCAGGAUCCUGGCUUUCAGUGAACCACAUGAGACCAGCAGUGAAAACCAGUGACCACCCUGGCUGGAAGGGGACCAGAGAAGAAUCACACCUGGAGAAAGAGAUCCCAUCCAGCUUUCCAAAGGACAGGAGACACAGAGCAGGUGACAGCCCCUCCUUUUUCCAUGAGCAGUAAUUCAGCUCACAGAAACUCAGGAGCCAAAUGUUUGAAGCAAACAUGUAAGUUUCUUCCCUUGUUUUGUUGUCCUGCCCCUGCCAACCCAUGGCCUCACGUGUUCAUAUGGUGAGGCCUUUACUCCUUUGUGUGCUUUGUGCUGCUCUGAAGCAGGCUCCCCUUUGGCUCACUGCCACUCUGUGCCAUCUCUGGCCCAUGUUCAGUCAUGUUUGUCUGUAGACAAUUGGGUGGGUCUCACACACUAUAGAACUCUGCACGUGCUCUCACUGUGAGAAGAGCUGGAAGAACCAGUAAAAAGGGGAAAGAACCCUGGCUGAUACUGCAGGGAGCGGGAGGACACAGCCAGCAAGUGAAUGUGCUUCACAGAGUGCAAAUUAAGGCACAAAGAACAGAGCCCAGGACAGGUGAGGAGGCAGAGGCAGUCACUGCGACCCUCAUCUAGCAUCUUAUCUUAACCACAAGUGCUGAGUUAAUAAACAAGGUCUUGGAAAAGUCAGCCCCAGUCAGGCUGUCUCUGAUCUGUCCCUUCAGGAGACAGUCACUUCACUUACCUGUGUCUUUAAUGCCACAGUCUGGAUAAGCAAUUCUUGUACAGCUCAACAAAGCCAUUCUGCUGAGCAUCCAGCUCUGCACAGAAUUCAUUCUCUGAGCAUACCAGUCAGGAGCAGAAGCUGCAGAGCAGAUCUUUUUCAUUUUUCUAAAGAACAGUGUGCUAUGAAGAAAACAUAACAGUUUAAUAGUUCAGUGGGAGUUUCUUAAACACAGAGUUAGUCAUCUAGUCAUCACUAUAAUGCUAUCAUUUGACUGUACCUUAAGAUGCAGCCGUCGAAGUUCUUCAUUGUGUUGAGCAGCAAAGUUGUGCUUGUUUUAACAAGUUACAUCAUGGGAGACUUUAUUCUACGUUCUCCACCCACACAACCCCAGGAUUUAUUUUCAUCUGAGAACUUGUUAAUAAUACCAGCGAAGAAACUAAUGUUCCAAGAUGUUUAGGAUUCACACACAAAUCUUAAAUUCUACUGGUAGAAACAGAACAUCAUUGCUUUGAUAGGGAAUAGUCAGUAACACUCUUCACAGCAAGAAGAGUUUUAGUUCUUAGUUCCAUGGCGCUGUGCCUGAGCAUGAUAUACUUACUCAGGUUAAUGUAUUUUCUGCCUACUUUGCCAAUCCAGAUGGGCUUAAAGGGAGGAAAGAAAAAUAAGUAUUUGAUGAUCACAGAAGUGACCAACUUGCAGUAGAACUCAAUGCUGUGGUAGGAUGCUAAGGACCAGACUACAGCAUUUCAUGCACGUGGGUGUUUCUCAGAUGUAGCAGUUUGCCCAGGACAGGAUUUGGUCACUUUAACAAAUGGCUCUGAGCCACCCUGGGGUCAGCAAAGUGGGGCAAAGAACAGGACAUCUCUGCCCCGGCCCUCAAAGCAGUGCAAUGUGAUAAACAGAACGGCUACUUUGCUUUUAUCUGCUGUGUUUCCUUAAACCAGCUGCACACAGCUGUGAAGCAGCCUGAGAUGAGGCUGAUCCUCACAGCAAUGUUACCAUUCAGAGGUGUCAGAUUCAGCCCAAUGUAUGUGCCAAAGUUGCCCUCAGUGCUGGCACCCCACCAGCUUCUGAAAAGGGCUUUCAAUUGUUACACCUGUGCAAUUUUUGUUGUUUUUUAGUGUUCACAAGAAAGUCUGACAUUAUCAUUAAAGAGAACUACAAUUUUUUAUGAAACAUCUGGGCUGUCUGAAGUGUGAAUAUUGAAAAGACUUGUUAUUCCAAUCAGAGGUAUUUGGAAAUACGUAUGCUGGCCAGAGACAGCUUAGUAUUUAGAAAUUAUCUACUCUUACUACAGGUCAGUCGUAUUCCAGGGGUUUACAGCAGUUUUAACAAUUGCAGUUUUCCUUCUUGUACAGUUUUACCUUAUUUAACUCUACUACAAAAUCUGUACCCUUUCAUCAAAGAAGUUCUGAAUUUAGACUUUUUUUUCCUUUGUAAAAUAUUCUGGCAUAUUGGUGCCAGCUGGGCAGGGAUUCUGAAGCUAUUUCCAAAUAGAGAAGUGGUUGCUCUGAGGAUGCCACUUUUUUCCCUUGUGUAGAGUUGUUCGACUGCAUAAAGACUGAGCUAAAAAACUCCUCAUUCAUUCUGUACCACAAGUAACAGGGAAGGUCAACUGUCCAAAAGAAGAAUGUCAGCAUUUUUAGCAGCAGUCACUUAGCACGGCUUCAGAAAAUACCUCUCUUAGGGCUUCUCUUUACGCACAGUACUGCUAUUUCUGAUACAGAUUAAUGACCAUUUCCUCUAAAGUAAAGAAAACGUACUCCUAUAGGAGAUACUCAACUAAUUAUGAUUCAUAAAGGCAGCAUAUAAGUACUUACACAUUUUUAGUAAAAAGUAUUCCCCUAAAAGAGAAAUAAUUUUUUUUUAAUUUUGCAAUAGAGGUUGCCUGACAGUUGAAACUUGAAGCUUUUAAGCUAGAAAAGCCCAAAUAGACAAAUUAUACUGGUAUGUUCUUUAAAGGCCAAGCAGCUGUUUUAUUAAAAUACUGAAUUUACAUUAAAAAGUCUGAUUCUUUCCAUUAUAAUAAUCUUACUGAAGUGACAUGAAAUUCAUGACAAGGAGCUAGCUUUAUUCUGUCCACAUUCUGUCCUCAGUUACCCACAGACAGUUCUGCUACUAUUCAAAACUGUGCAAGUUCACACCCACAUAGAAGCACAUUUGUCUGGAAAGACAAAUCCCAAGGCAAUUGGUUCUCAUAUUCCCUAGGAAAAACAGCUUUUCAAAUCCCAAUUUCAAACCCAUCCAAAUCUGUGUUCCAAGAAACAGAAAAAGGAUUUCAGAAUAUACCAACUCCCAUAAGUGAAUGACCUUCAAACAACUUGAAGCAGGUUGAAUUUACAUUUUACUUCAAAAAAAGGCAAAGUACAUACAUGAGGAGAAGAUGGGAGGAACAACAGUUACCUGAAACCAGGCUUCUACCAUUUCUGCCUAAGCUUACCAGCUGUGUCUGAAUCAGCAGGGCUCUGGCCUGCCCUGGCACACUUGCUCACCAUGGGAACAGGACUGUGUAUCGAGGGAACAUUUUCAAAGUUGAGGCCCAAAUGGAAAGAGUAAGAUAUCAUACACAGUGUAAGUUUAUAGUACACAGCUUUGUUUUUAAAUGACAUAACGCAACAGCAGGAAGGAGAAGUAGUAGUUAACAAUUA